rnacentral:rRNA from 1 species
UACGUAGGGUGCGAGCGUUGUCCGGAAUCAUUGGGCGUAAAGGGCUCGUAGGCGGCCAACUAAGUCAGACGUGAAAUCCCUCGGCUUAACCGGGGAACUGCGUCUGAUACUGGAUGGCUUGAGAUUGGGAGAGGGAUGCGGAAUUCCAGGUGUAGCGGUGAAAUGCGUAGAUAUCUGGAGGAACACCGGUGGCGAAGGCGGGUCUCUGGGCCGAUACUGACGCUGAGGAGCGAAAGCGUGGGGAGCAAACAGG